ACUUUCAAGCGUUUCCUUACAAAUUAGAAAUGUUAUCAGUUCAACGAUAACGAUGUAUGUACUUUCCAAUGUGCAACUAAAAGUAUUAUUGACCAUAAUAUAUGCAAUAUUUCUAUUAUGAAUUGUAUAUAAGUGUUGACAGAAUGUGAAAAAUUAUCAAAUUAAUUUAUGACGCUGUUUAGGAAAAGUAUAACUACAACAAUAUCUUUCUAAGGUCUGAAAAUGUACUAUUUAUUAGUGCUAUCGUUUUGUGCUCUCUUCUGUUCUGGAUCCUGCACUAAAGUGAUCCCUGAAGUUGCUUCGGAGGAUAAUGAUGUCCAGAAUAGCGUCGUGUAUUGUCCAGGAGGAUAUUACUACUGUCAAGUCGGAUCGACAUGCUGUCCUCUUCCAAACGGAGCAUACUCAUGCUGCCCAUACUCCUCAGCAAUGUGUUGCGCAGAUAUGGUUCAUUGUUGCCCAUACGGCACUCGAUGUGAUGCUACCUCCCGAUACUGUCUCCAUGGUUACAGCCUGAUGCUAUCACAAUCUAAGACACCUGCAUUUCCUAUGAAAUAAACAUCUCAGUCUUGUUUGACUUGUUUGAUAAUCUUAUGUAAAUAUGUAAUAUAGAAAUAAAGGAUUCGUUUU